GCAAGCGUUACUCGGAAUUACUGGGCGUAAAGCGUGCGUAGGUGGUUUGUUAAGUCUGCUGUGAAAGCCCCGGGCUCAACCUGGGAAUGGCAGUGGAUACUGGCAAGCUAGAGUGCGGUAGAGGGGUGUGGAAUUCCCGGUGUAGCGGUGAAAUGCGUAGAGAUCGGGAGGAACACCAGUGGCGAAGGCGGCACCCUGGACCAGCACUGACACUGAGGCACGAAAGCGUGGGGAGCAAACAGG
rnacentral:rRNA from 1 species